rnacentral:lncRNA from 1 species
UGUGGGGUCAGUGUUUUUAUUUAUCAUCAAACUUCAGUAUCAAAACUCAGCCACAGCUGUUGCUAUAUGCAUUUGAGAGAUACCUGGGAGCCAAGGGGAAGGAGUGGCCAUGUUUGGAGACAUAGGACGGGCAAGAAGUGUGAUGGAAAGCUGGAGUCGGGCAGUAAAAGAACGCACCGGGGAGAACUGUGCAACUGCAGUAUCCCAGAGGUCAAGUCUUCUUCAAGCUCAGCCCAGUGAGAUCUAAAAUUGGGAACUUACCAGAAACUAGCAGAAAAGUAUGGCAAAAAGAGAAAUAUGAUCCAAUGAUCCAACUCCAGAAAAACUCACUGGAUCGAGGUGAACACAGCCUCUUUAAAGCUCUUGCCAAUGAGCUGCUGGUCACUUUUUGCUGCUUGUCAUUCAAGCACUUUGACACGGACCUGAAGCUAUUAUCACAAGUGCCUAUUCCAUACUUCAUUCAACUUUUGGGAGUCUACCAAUGGUGUACAGGACCGAAUGUAAUCAAUAUCCCAAGAAGCAAAAGAGAUGCGCCUAGCAGAAGCAUCUUGAAGGUGUACUGUAUCUAUCACCAUGAAGUCUGCAUUCCCAUUUUUUUUUUUUUUUUUUUUUUGGCUUGGGAAGAUAACUGCAAAAGUUUUUUUUUUUUUUUUAAGAUCAUGUUUCUAACUAGCAGGUAUCAUGAAAACCUCAAAUUAUUGAAUAACAAUAGAAUUGUUAAACACUUUUAAAAAAGUCCUGUUAAGUAAUAUUUCCCCUAAUCACAAUUAAAGACAAUAAAUAAAUGGAAAUUACUUCUUUGAA